UUUUUUUAUAAAGGAUCAUCCUGAUAAUGAUCGCAAUAUAUGUGUUUUCAUUAAUUAAUCUAAACCCCGCAAAAUCGAUCAAUAAUUCUUCCGAAAUACAUUAAACAAGAACGCAAGGCCUUCAAAUUUACACUCGCCGCAUCUCAAAACAUCGAACGACACAACCCCAAAAUUAGGGUUUUCGAUCCCACACUGCAUCGAAUCACAACAGAGCUAAAACUCACACCUAAAAUCCACAAUCCACCGAAAUACAUACAAAAACAGAUAAAUCCAAUUAACCUGAUUGAUGAGGCGCCUCAGUGCCAUCUUUCUCCAAUAGCGACAGCAGACGCGGAAAAAUGAAACCCAGAAGAGAUGAAAAUAUUAAUUAAAACGAAAAAAACACACACUCCUCAACUCCUCUUUUCUGUUGUUAAUCUGGGCGCCGAUUGGAGAGCGCGCAUAAAUUGAUCCAAAAUGUGAAGAAGAGAGAGAGAGACGCAAAGAGAGGGAGAGGGAAGGCGAGAACAAUAUCGAUAUUAUUUCAGAAAUUACACACUGCUUGUUGCUAAAAUGUGCACCGUGUUACAAUGCGCACCU
rnacentral:lncRNA from 1 species